CAAUAGCGUAUAUUAAAGUUGUUGCAGUUAAAAAGCUCGUAGUUGGAUUUGUGGCGUACGGUGUGUUCCGGGCACUUGUUGUCUGAGUAACCUGCUGUUGCCAUCCUUGGGUGGAACCUGUGUGGCAUUAGGUUGUCGUGCAGGGGAUGCCCAUCAUUUACUGUGAAAAAAUUAGAGUGUUCAAUGCAGGCUUAUGCCGUUGAAUAUAUUAGCAUGGAAUAAUGAGAUAGGACUUUUUUGCUAUUUUGUUGGUUUGCGCAAAGAGGUAAUGAUUAAUAGGGACAGUUGGGGGUAUUCGUAUUCCAUAGUCAGAGGUGAAAUUCUUGGAUUUUUGGAAGACGAACUACUGCGAAAGCAUUUACCAAGGAUGUUUUCAUUAA
rnacentral:rRNA from 1 species